GACGAACGCUGGCGGCGUGCUUAACACAUGCAAGUCGAACGGAAAGGCCCUGCUUUUGUGGGGUGCUCGAGUGGCGAACGGGGGAGUAACACGUGAGUAACCUGCCCUUGACUUUGGGAUAACUUCAGGAAACUGGGGCUAAUACCGGAUAGGAGCUCCUGCUGCAUGGUGGGGGUUGGAAAGUUUCGGCGGUUGGGGAUGGACUCGCGGCUUAUCAGCUUGUUGGUGGGGUAGUGGCUUACCAAGGCUUUGACGGGUAGCCGGCCUGAGAGGGUGACCGGCCACAUUGGGCCUGAGAUACGGCCCAGACUCCUACGGGAGGCAGCAGUGGGGAAUAUUGCACAAUGGGCGGAAGCCUGAUGCAGCAACGCCGCGUGCGGGAUGACGGCCUUCGGGUUGUAAACCGCUUUCGCCUGUGACGAAGCGUGAGUGACGGUAAUGGGUAAAGAAGCACCGGCUAACUACGUG
rnacentral:rRNA from 1 species